ensembl:snRNA U6 U6 spliceosomal RNA
GUGCUCACUUCGGCAGCACAUAUACUAAAAUUGUAACGAUAAAAGAUUAGCAUGGCGCCUGCACAAGAAUGACAUGCAAAUUCAUAAAGCGUUCCAUAUUUUU